AUUGAACGCUGGCGGCAGGCCUAACACAUGCAAGUCGAAUGGUAACAGCCUACAGCUUGCUGUUUCGCUGACGGGGGGCGGACGGGUGAGUAAUGUCUGGGCAACUGUCUGAUGGAGGGGGAUUACUACUGGAAACGGUAGCUAAUACCGCAUAACGUCGCCAGACUAAAGAGGGGGGACUUCUGGCCUCUUGCCAUCAGAUGUGCCCAGAUGGGAAUAGCUAGGAGGGGGGGUAACGGCACCACUAGGCGACCAGCCGUACAUGGUCUGAGAGGAAGACCAGCCACACUGGAACGGAGACACGGACCAGACUCCUGCGGGAGGCAGCAGACGGGAAUAUUGGACAAUGGGCGCAAGCCUGAUGCAGCCAGGCCGCGUGUAUGAAGAAGGCCUUCGGGUUGUAAAGUACGUUCUGCGGGUAUGAAGGGAGUAAGGUUAAUACCAUGCGUGAUUGACGUUACCCGCAGAAGAAGCACCGGCUAACUCCGUG
rnacentral:rRNA from 1 species